CCUACGGGUGGCAGCAGUGGGGGAUAUUGCACAAUGGGGGAAACCCUGAUGCAGCGACGCCGCGUGGGUGAAGGAGUGUUUCGGUACGUAAAGCCCUAUCAGCAGGGAAGAAAGAAGACGGUACCUGACUAAGAAGCCCCGGCUAACUACGUGCCAGCAGCCGCGGUAAUACGUAGGGGGCGAGCGUUAUCCGGAUUCACUGGGUGUAAAGGGGGCGUAGACGGCCGUGCAAGCCAGGAGUGAAAGCCCGGGGCCCAACCCCGGGACUGCUCUUGGAACUGUGCGGCUGGAGUGCGGGAGGGGCAGGCGGAAUGCCUGGUGUAGCGGUGAAAUGCGUAGAUAUCAGGAGGAACACCGGCGGCGAAGGCGGCCUGCUGGACCGCGACUGACGUUGAGGCCCGAAAGCGUGGGGAGCGAACAGGAUUAGAUACCCGGGUAGUC
rnacentral:rRNA from 1 species